CCAGAAAGUAGUCUAGGGAUAUUACUUUUGAAGAGUGGGUGAAGAAGUUUAAAGAGUUUUGUCAUAUUCGUUAUACCAUUACGGCUUUACUCUACUUGGUGUCAUUUGCUACCUCCGCCGCCAUAUUGUGCACCAGCUUGACUUAAUAGACGCCAGUCGUGUUCAGGAGAAGCUCUCUACUCCAAACCAAACCAAUACGUAACUUCGCAUUUUUGCUUGAAAAUCUCUCAUUGUUCCAUUUUUUACUAGAACAUGUUCUGACAUUUUCAUUGAACUAUUUAUCCACUGCUCAUUUUCUCACAACUAUGCUACUAGGUUUAUUUUUUUUUUGGGUUUAAUUAUGCUGCUGAGUUUGUUUCAGGAAUCAGGAUGUGUGAUUUGUGUUAUAAGAUUACUUACCCAACC